UACGAAGGGGGCUAGCGUUGUUCGGAAUUACUGGGCGUAAAGCGCACGCAGGCGGCUCGAUAAAUUAGAAGUGAAAGCCCCGGGCUCAACCUGGGAAUGGCAGUGGAUACUGGCAAGCUAGAGUGCGGUAGAGGGUAGUGGAAUUCCCGGUGUAGCAGUGAAAUGCGUAGAGAUCGGGAGGAACACCAGUGGCGAAGGCGGCUACCUGGACCAGCACUGACACUGAAGCACGAAAGCGUGGGGAGCAAACAGG
rnacentral:rRNA from 1 species